GAUAUGGCCCAAUUAAUGCAUCACCCUUUGUUACAGGCAGGAAGUUAAAACACAAGUGGGUUACAACCAGGGAUCAAAAUCCACCUCAAAAAAAUUACUGCUGGGUCUUUCCAAUUUCUUAAUGAUCCUCAGUGUGUCAAUAGGAGUUGGUCCUGGCGCUCUGGAUGGCAGAAAACUGUGGAAGUGCAAAGAGCAGGAGCUGCUGCUGAGAGGACACUGCCUCUGUUGUAUUUCCAGCCUACCAUAAAAACUGCGGAGAAAAGAAACUGAUUAGGAGAGGGAAACAAGUCAGCAGUUACUCCAGAGAUGCUUCAGGCUGCAUCUUCUCUUUUACUUGGAGUCUGACAUGGUGAAGUCUAUUGAGGGAUCAUCUGCAGUCCCAAGCAUGGCCAAUGACAGUAACAGAACACUGCACAGCAUGUUGGCUCCCAGGAACGCAGGUACUUUUCU